rnacentral:lncRNA from 1 species
UAGAGUCCGGUUGGGAUACUAUCGAUAGUACCAAAGGUUUGGUGUUAUCGAGUUUUUCACUGUUAGAUUUAAUCCUCACCACAACAAAAAUGGUCUAUAGCGACACUUUUAAAUGUCGCUACAGGUCAAAAAAAGUGCUGCUGACUAAAUUACCGACACUUUUAAAAAGUGUUGCUAUAUGUAGGGUUGCUAGGUAUAUAGUGACAGUUAAAGAGUGUCGCUAUAACAUAAAAAGAGUGCUGCUAAUUUACUAACACUCAUUUAAGUAUUUAGCAACCGCCGGAAUUCUACCUUAUUGGCUGCGGUGGCGGAGGAGGAGGAGAGGGAAGGGCUCUUCGUCUAGAUUUCAGUGGAUUGAGCGAGGGGGGAAGGGGAGAUGACAAUAGAUUUUUCUUUUUUUUUUUUAUUUUCUGUUUGUAGUCGGGCCCAAUGGGCUGGGUGGGAUCGGUUGAGUAGAGUAACCUUUUAUUUUUUGUUGGAUUAGGCUUUAUACUUAAGCAUUAGUAGAUUUUUUUUAAAGUUUUGGCAUAAAUAGGACACUUACACAAAAGUGUCCCAAACAUAUGUCGCUAUAACCUAAUUCUGUUGUAGUGCCUUUGAUUAUUUUUAUUCGUUAGAUCAUAUUAUUUAACCAACCACUCACUCAACCUUAGGGGGCCCACAUCAUCCUAACCAUACAUUUCUCAAUCUAAUGGCUAAAAAACUAAUAGCACCAAUAUAU